AAUGGGGCGGGAUUGUGAGUGCGCGGCUGUCAGUGGUGCGGCGGCUCAAUAGGAAGGGCGUUAUCUCUGCCUGUUUUCCCCUCCUGCAAUCCCCUGUGUUUCGCAGGGCGAUUUUGUCUCUUCGUAGCCUGACGGAAGACUUUAAGCACCAAUCCAGGAAGAUAUAAGAAAAAAAUAUUUUACAGUGAGGGUGGUGAGGUACUGGAAUAGGUUGUCCAGUGAUGUGGUUGAUGCCCCAUCCAUGGAGACUUUAAAGAUGGAGCUGCCUAAGGUCAUGGAUGUGGUCUCUUGCAACAGUUGAGCUGCAGUCAGUAAGUACUGGAUACACUGUGCGGAGGUGGACCUGUCUGUGCAGCACAGGCACAUGCGUUUGUGCAGAGAAAUCCCAAAGCAACUUGUUCCCCAUAUUGUAAAACAUGAGACACUGGCCCCCGAAUGCAAUGAUAACCAUACCACCAACUUUCUAGUAGAGUAGUUGCCCUGUUUUUCUAAACAUUACAUGUAAUCCUAUGACAGUGAAGUGAAGGUCAGGGCAGUAAUUAUGUAUGCUCCUGUAGACAGUGUGUCAUCAACUGAAUAAUAAUGCAAAAUAUGCAAAGAUAUAGUCUAGAAAUAUAGUUCUAUUCUCUCCUACAUUUUUAGCCCUAUCAAAACCUCUGCACAAUUAUAUAACAAGUUUGUGUGAACACCUGUGUUCUUUUGCACUCAUCGGGGCUAUUAAAAGUGACAGACUACGUUGUCUGAUCAUAAUCACAUAUUAUAGCAAAUUCAAACAUGUUCAUCCAAUUUUCACAGGGUCAUGCACUGAAUUAUCCCCUUCAUUGUCAGGCAAAUAAAUACAGAUCAUUGUUUCGAACCGCUGGGAAUUUGGAACCCAAGUAAUGUACAGGUCUGUGGAAUCAGUAUUCAAAUCUCUGCUCGGCCAUCCUUCCAAUGACUUUACCAUGAGAAUGGAAAGGAGGAAGGAGGGGAGCUGUAGAGGACAAUGGGCUGAGCAAGGAAAGAAGGUUACCUCAUUAGACUACAGGGAAAAUCUUGAGGUUAAAUAGUGCUGUGAAUAUCUGGAUAGCUACACACCUCAGAUAUGCUUUUGGUCUGUGAACGGAUGUUAAGGAGUGUGUAUACACUUGUAUAUAUGCAGAUAUAAUCAAACACAUGCAUACGUAUAUACAUACACAUAUAGUAAUCUUUAAGAGGGUGCCACUAAAACAAAAUAUUUACAUUUUCUAAGGGCAGAAUUGUGCAGAAAUCCAAAUACGCGGAUUUCUAAAAACAGAAGGUAGUCUGAUAAGAAGAUCUUUGGAUUCUCAGCCAUUGCCCUCUCAGGCAAAAUAAAGAGUUGUGUUUCAGGAGGCAGUUUUCUGCAGCUCAUAAGUGACCACCGCAGAGCAGAUGCAAGUGAAGCUACACAAAUCUGCAUCCAUGGAAAGUCUGGCUUGAAUUGUCUGCCACAGUAACUGUCUAGAAUAUCUUACUGCCUGCUCAGUACUGCUCUUCUGGGAAAGAAUAGCCAAAGAGUUGAGAAAAGAAGGCAGUUUAAAACAGAAAUCUCAUUAUUAAUAUACCGUUUUGAAAAGUCUGUUGUGGUUUACUAAGUCCCAGGAUGUGAGUGUGUUUCUUCAGUGCUCAGAAGGCAGACAUCGAUUUACAGUUUCAGUAGGAAUCUUUUUAGUUACUUGGGUACUGCCUUCAUUUAGGGACACAGCAGGGCGGCUCAAGUUGGAGGUGGCAGGAAUGCUGUGGGGAGUUGCCCUGGCUGUGGGAAGGCUGUGACGGACUUCCAUCUGCCAACACAGUGCUGCAGCUGCUGGGUCACUUGGGGCUUGGCACAAGCACAAGCAUAGCUUGUUGGUGCUGCUGCGCUAACCCAUGCUCCAAUGCCGUCUCUCCUUUCUGCCCCCAACUUCUCCAGCCACCCACCACACCCAAGAACCUCGUAUCCUUUUCUAUUCCAUACUUCUGUCUCUCUUUCCAUUCUUGAGACUCCUGCUUCCAAAGCUCUCUACCUUUCAACUUCACUAGCAGGUGCACAUCCCUGCCACUUAGACCAACAGACAGCCUAUCUGGCACCAGCCCCAGCCCUAUCUUGCCUCCGUGGGGCUUGCUUGGGGGUGUGCACCACUUCUUGUUUGCACAGUAAAGUCUUGAGUAAUGCCAGUAAAAAAUGAGCACAUCAUCUGUCAUCAUAGAAUCACAGAAUCCUGGGAGUUGGAAGGGACUUCUGAAGGCCAUCUGGUCCAACUGCCCUGAAAAGAACAGGGACGUCCACAGCUGGAUCAGGUUGCUCAGGGCCUUAUCCAGCAAAACUAUGGAGCGGAGCAGCGAGAUGUGUUUGUGUCGGCUGAUCUGCAGAGGGCACACAUUGUCCAGGCCUGAGGCAGUAAGUGGUGGUGGCACGGAUCCCCUCAAGUGCUGUGUCACUGGAGCUCCUGCCUCCGUGUGUCCCAGAGCUGAUUCACCACAUUUACCCCAUCCCAGAGGAGCCAGUUGCUGAGCUGCAGCCCUUAUGUCCCAUCUUCCUGCUGAAACAAUGGAACUUCUCCAUUACUUGGGAGAAUGGAAGAAAGAGCACCGCGUUGCCCUUUAGUGAUUGCAGGAGCUGCUGCCAAAUGGUCCAAGCCAUUCCUAAGCCCAGCACUAUUUCUGUGCUCUACCCAAGGUCUGUUCAGGGAACACCAAGUGUGGAAUCAGCCCUGUCCUUCUCAGCAAGCGCUCUCAGCUGCUGAUGCAUGCCCACACGUGUCCUCUGUCUCUGGCUCAGUUCUAAACACCUCCCUGCUGUCGUAUUCUGGCUGCAGCACUCAAGUUUUCCACCUGCAAUUGAUUCUUGAUUUCUUGUCCUGGAGUGCUGAGCAUCAUCAGGGGAGAGCUCCCCGAUUGCUGAUGAUUACGAAACCAUAGCUGACCAAACACAGCUGAACACAGUGGAGGGUGUGAGCCUGGCCUCUGAGGAGCUGAAAUCAGGUGAGCACCUGCCAGGGGAAGAGGCCACAGAGCUGACUUCGGCCUUGGAGCCAAAGAUUGACUCGGUCCCUGAGAGAGAGGAGCCGGAGGGUACUGAGCCACCAUGUGUAGCACCGGAGCAGAGCCCAGAGCUGCCAUCUGUGUGGCAAGAGGAAAGCACCAAGACUUCACCACCGGCACUGAGAGACAAUGGUGGGCCACCAGGACCAACAGAGGACAGUGGGUUGGAGGAAGGCAGUGACAGCUUUGUGGUGGAAAUCAUCAAGAAGGUGCAUAUUGCUGAAGAGGACCACUUCGUUGAGGGUGAGACGGGAGAACAGGUGGAAACUGAGCUGCUCAGUCAGAUAGUAAGUGGAGGGCCUGAAACAAAAGAAGAGGAAACAGGAGAAGCUGUGGAUGGUGCAGCAGCGACAGAGAUAGAGACAACGAGUAACAAAGACUAGAAGCUACGUCUGUAUGAACAUCCUCUUCUUGGGCCAGCCCUUCUGUCCACAUAGAAGCUUUUUAAUUUUGCUGCAUUGGAAAAAUAGAGCUUUUAUAGACGGAGCCACGAACCAGAAUAAGAAACAUCAAAAGAGGUUUUAUAUAAUAUAUAUGUUAUUGAAGUCGAGCUGCCAGGACUUCAAGUGUUUGAAAUACCUGGUACCUCCCUGACCUGGCACCUCCCUGCCACAGAGUGCCUUCCGUACAUCGCCAGCACAGCGGGAUGAUUCCGACAGAUGUAUAACCAUCCAGUUUUCCAUUAGGAGUCUUUCCAGGUUCUAACUUCAAACCUCUGAAACCUUCAGCAUUACAUAGGAUAAAGAAUAUAGUGUAGACUGGUUUUAGUUUUAUUUUAAUGGUAGCGCAAGCAGAAAGUCAGAAAGGGAAGUCCUGCUUCUGAGAACUCCUCUACAUGCAGGCAGUCCCUCUGAGUGCCUGCACAGCCAGGUGAUGGAGCUGCUGCAGUGAGCUGCACUCAGAGGACUGGAACCCAAACUGCCUGUUUGCUGGGUGUAACUAAAUGCAAAGGUUAGUUUUUCAGGCAGUGAAAGAUACACAGUUAACCAAGUAGGUGCCUUCUGCUAACUCCAUUUUUAAACAUAUUUAUUGAAAGGAGAAAAAAAGGCAUUUUUAACCAGGAGGAGAAUGCUUUAGUCUUCUAAGAUCUGGCAUACUUAAAAUACAAAUUCACAGUUGUUAGCACGCAUGGUGAUUAAUAGGGCAUCUUUAGCGAUGUAGCUCCUAACAUAUGCUCAUGGCUUCUAAAAUAGAUACCAAACCAGUGACUUCUAUAAGCCUGAUCCCAUAGGAGAGGUCACUGUUCCAUACCCCCAUUUCUCCAGGAGAAACACGUAUUCAGGAAUGGCGUUAUGUUCCAGAAUGCUAAGGAAGCAUUUCAGAGCUGAAGCUGAAUGACAAAACCUUCCAACAAAUUUCACGUUGAAAAGAGGCUCCAAAUACAAUUGGUGUUAAGGAUCUGAUAGAGUAGAACUUUGAUCUGAUGGUGAGUGAUGCAAAGGGACUUUGUAUUAUUAUUGGAGACUGUUCGGGAGACCCUCUGGCAUAAGGAAGUAGAACAUGGAGGAAAGGUCAAGCAUCUCACAAGGGCAAAUGUUGCUAUAGCUUUACUGUACAAAAGGACUUCAACAAAUUUUAUUGUCAGCAGCAAAUAAUCAAUCUCCUCUGAGCUACAUUUUGUGCUGCACAUGCAUACCUGACUCCAGCUGAUCUUGGUCUGUAUUAAAUAUUUUAAUUGAUAUCCCUGGCCUAUCAGCUUUUUCUACUUUAGCUGAUAUUCCUUAGCCAUACUGCUGUAUUUAAGGUUUUCUGCCUGUCAGCAGUCUUUUCAGACUGCAGCUAUCUUGUCAGCUUCCUGUAAGGUCACCUUUCUGCAGGCAUACACUCCAGGGUCCCCCACCUCCAGCAGUUCCAGUGGUUGGGUCCCUCUUGUAUGCUGGGGAUUUGGUUUGACUACCAGCACCUGAACUGGCACCAUCCAGUUCCCAAAUACAGGGAGUCUGCUAUGCUGACUGCUUGAAAGUUACAUGUUAGAUCCAGAGAUGCAGUUUGACUGGCCGUAUUGAAAGAUUUAAAAGCAGAACUGAUGGCAUUUCCAUGAUGGAGGCAACAUUAACAGCACCUGCAGAGACAGCACUUGAAAACAAAAUAGGGAGAUAUAAGAGAGUCAGGAUAACCUGUUCACCUCAGAAUCAGUCUUGCUGCCACCAAUAUACACUCUUACCUACAAUAUACACUCUUACCUCCUUAUUCAACUUUUUCAAUCAUUAGAAGCAAUGCUAAUUGGAAGCAAGAGGAGGGUUACCCCAUCAGUGACUCAGCAGGUCAGCCCUUCUCUGUCAUCUUCAGUCUUUACAUAUCUUGUAAUUACAGUAUAUGAAAGCUAUGUUAUCUUUUCCUUCCCAAAAAGUGAAAUAUACUUGACACUGUGCUAAAUGUGAAAUGUUAAUUAUAUAAAUUACAAGAUCAGACCUCAGAUGCUAGACUUAUGCUGAACAUCCCUCCCUUGACAAAUAAGACAAUCACUAUCCCGCUGAGGCCUGGUAUUUAUGGUCUUUAAGCUACUAAAAUGUGUACCAUGCCUAAAGGGCCAAAAUGUAUGCAGUUAUUUGCUUCUGCAAUCCUCAGGACAUCACAGAAAUUGCCAAGGGCAGAAAUUGGUCUGUGGAUCACACAGCUUUCUGAGCUUAAAUGCUGAGAAGGGGAUAUGCUCUGACACCUGUUUAUAAGAUACAGCUGCAGAGCUAGUACGAGGUACCUUAGCAUUUUAUUUUAAACAUCACCAAAAUAAAAAUGUAUUUUCGUAAAUGUGUAUCAAAAGCUAGACAGUCUUAAGUCUCAAACUUCCUCCAACCUAGCACUUACUAUUCCAUGCUAUACUAAGUGUUGAAGAGAAUCACAGAAUGGCCUGGAUUGAAAAGGACCACAGUGAUCAUUGAGUUUCAACCCCUCUGCUAUGUGCAGGAUCACCAACCACCAGACGAGGCUGCCCAGAGCCACAUCCAGCCUGGCCUUGAAUGCCUCCAGGGAUGGGGCAUCCACAACCUCCUUGGGCAACCUGUUCCAGUGCGUCACCACCCUCUUUGUCAAGAACUUCCUCCUGAUAUCCAACCUAAACCACCCGUCUCAGUUUAAGACCAUUCCCCUUGUCCUAUCACUAUCCACCCUUGUGAACAGUCAUUCUCUCUCCUGUUUAGGAGGAAUAGGACCCUUGAUUGAAUAAAUCUCCAGUCUAACUGGAAAGGUAGACAUUUUGUUUCAAGUACUGAAAGCCAUAGCCUUAAAGAAGGUAAAUUUGGACCCCGCAGACUCUAUGCAGACAAACAUGCUCGUGUUAGCAUCCCAGAAGAUACUCAGCAAUCUGGCUUGGAAAAGUUGGCUCUUCUACUCAACGCAUAACUUCUUUCAGAUGAAUACUGCAUCGAGAGAAAGGUGCCUGUAGCAGAAGAUUAGGGCAGGUUAAGUUUUAACAGAGAACAAAGUUUUAUUAAAAUUGCCUACCAAGCUUUAUUUUUGCAUUGUUUAAUCUGUAGGGAACAUAAUCAUUAGGAGAGAAAAAAAGCUACUAAAAGAAAACCCUGGGAGAACGUGCAAAUUUAGGAACUGCUUUGCUUUCACAGAACUAGAAGACCUCAUUUUGUUUCAUGCUAGCAGCUCAGUCUAGCAAUCAAACAAAAACUCAGCUUACCUUAAUUCCAUUUAUAACUGGAUUUAUUAAGUAUUUUAUACUUUGCUGAACUAAGACCAAGGAGGUCCUCACAACACUUGUGUUUCAUGUUGGAUAAUCAUAUUGCUCUGCUUUUUAAAAUAAAAAACAGAAUCAAGAAAUAGAACAACCGCUUUAAAAAAAAUAAAGCUUUAAACAUCUA